AGUCGCUGGAGAGGAGAGGAGAGCGUGUCACAUCGGUGGAACUAUCAUGAGCACAAGAGAUAAAGUUGCAGGACGAGCUCCCCCAUUGAACAAAAUGAGAAGAUAAGAAGAAAAUGCUACUUCUUCAAUUAGAUUCAUUCAUUCUGGAUCAUAACUGCACUCAGUAGGGAGGAGCUGAACCUUUGUGAUGCUGCUGCUGCGUGAGCCUACGCCCACUCCAGAUGAAUGAUGGGAUACCUCGGAGGGGGAAGUAGGUUACUGGAAGGCACCAUUUGGAAGGGGCCACCAUGUGACGCUGUAAUCUGUUUUCGUGUGCCGCCUAAUCCUGUGGUGAACCGUGCGUCUGUGUGCGUCUGCGUGGCCUCUCGUAUCAGACAGAAUUAAAGGAGAUGCUGUGGGGGUAGGACGCCCUCUAGUGGCUCCGUGGCGGAAAGAGGACACUCUUUGUUCUCCCAGCAAGGUGAGAAGACAGAAAAUGGAGACCCACUGGCCAUUUUCAACGCAGACAGAGCAGAAUAAUGACGAAGCACAUGUUGUUUCUGUGGCCUUAUGCUUAAUCCACCGCUUUAUAUACAUGAAAUCAGCUAACUUUAUAGGAAAAAGGUUCAUAUUGCUUCAUAACAAUAUGAACACAUUUAUAGAAAACUAUAUAUAAAGAUAAAUAAAAAACCUACAGCAGUACCAAAGAUCCUGUCAAAUGAACUGUUUUGCUCUGAGCUAUUGCUGCCCAUAUUUAAUGUGUGUCAAUUAUUUGAAAAAAAAUAAACUAUUCUAAGUGCAUUUAUUUGUUCUAAUCAACAGAAUUAUCUCUCAUCUAUAAAUUAUUUAAAAAUCAAGCAAUGCAGCCUACUUUCCCCCCACAAAACUGCUCCUUAAAAGUAUAAAAUUAAAGAGAAACUACGUUUUACGUGUAAUUUACAGCCUCACGUAACAAUGAUUAGCCUAUUUUUACUGUAUACUGAGCAUUUCCUUGGACUGCAUGUCGAGUUUCAACCACAAGAUGGAGACCUAAACACGCUGUAAAAGUUGCUUUUAUGCUCUUUAUGGUCAAAUAAUGCAUUAUCAUCUCCUGUAAAUAAACUGCUUUGUGUAAAACAGCCCCCCCCCCCCCCAAAAAAAAAAAAAAAAUAAAUUAGCUGUCUCAAGUUCACAGUACAUGAUUACUCAGUACACAGCCAGAAAAUGAGCAGCAGAACAGCUGCUGCUAAUGUGAUGAAAGACAGAAAAAGGAGCCAUAUGCAGCUGUACUUUGUUUUGUUUCUCAUCCUUAAGUUCAUUAGAAUAUAAAGUAGACAAUGAAAAGUGUACAUUUGUGUGUUCAGGAUACACCAGAGGUUUAGAAGCGGGAGUUUGGCCUCCCCAGAGACCUCCAGACAGCUUCAGAGGAGGCGAAGUGUGUGCAAUUGAGAAAAUAUUACAUUAUUAAUAACAACAGCUGAUUAAAGGAGAUUACAUAGCAGAGCCUGUAUUUUAUAUGGCGUUUGUUUAAAGAGGUAGUUCAGAGAUACAGUAGUUUUGGGGGAAAUUUACUGAAAUUUACCCACCUUCAAACACUCAUAAAGGCCUCAGGAUCGACUCUUUGUGUUUUGCUAGCAGUAUUAAGCUAUUUUGGCUCAGUUCUUGACUGCCUGUGGGCACAAAUACCACAAUCAUGAGCCAGUAUGCAUCCAGGAAUUAAAUAAAAGAAGUAAAGAAAACUAAGAGGCCGUGAAGAGAUGCUUUUUUAAGCUUCAUCUGACUUAAUUAAGAGUACGAAUAAUCCAUUGCUGUGCUACGCUGUUAAAAUAUACAUUAUAAUUAAAAGUCAUACAUAGAAAAUGUUUCUUAAGAGAAAUUGUGAAAUUAAAAACAUGAAAACACACUGCAGAAAGUGGUUCCUGUCACGGUCAUACUGUUAUGCAGUAAUAUUUGUAGUUUUUUUGUCUCUUUUUUGUUGUUUUGGAUCUGUAUUUGUCUCGCUUGUGUUGUUUGUUGAUUUUUUGCCAUUUUUUGCCUAAUUUUUAAAAAAAUGUUUUGUCUUGUUUUUGUUGUUUUUUUGUCUUUUUUGUCUGACUUUUGUCGAUUUGAUCAUAAAGUAAAAUACUAUAUUAUUCAGUUCCAGAUAACUGUGACUAAAUGUUGUGUCCUUUUGUAGACAUACUAUGAUCUGUAAAUUGUAAUAUGUAAAUAAUAAACUGAAGCAAAAUGUU